ACUCAAAUGAAUUGACGGGGGCCCGCACAAGCGGCGGAGCAUGUGGCUUAAUUCGAGGCAACGCGAAGAACCUUACCUGGGCUUGACAUGUACCGAAAAGCCGUAGAGAUACGGUGUCCUUCGGGGCGGUACACAGGUGGUGCAUGGUUGUCGUCAGCUCGUGUCGUGAGAUGUUGGGUUAAGUCCCGCAACGAGCGCAACCCUUGUCCUAUGUUGCCAGCGCGUAAUGGCGGGGACUCGUAGGAGACUGCCGGGGUCAACUCGGAGGAAGGUGGGGAUGACGUCAAAUCAUCAUGCCCCUUACGUCCAGGGCUGCACACAUGCUACAAUGGCCGGUACAAAGGGCUGCUAUUCCGCGAGGAUGAGCGAAUCCCAAAAAGCCGGUCUCAGUUCGGAUUGGAGUCUGCAACUCGACUCCAUGAAGUCGGAGUCGCUAGUAAUCCCGGAUCAGCAACGCCGGGGUGAAUACGUUCCCGGGCCUUGUACACACCGCCCGU
rnacentral:rRNA from 1 species